rnacentral:rRNA from 1 species
UAGAGUUUGAUCCUGGCUCAGAUUGAACGCUGGCGGAAUGCUUUACACAUGCAAGUCGAACGGCAGCACGGGAGCUUGCUCCUGGUGGCGAGUGGCGAACGGGUGAGUAACAUAUCGGAACGUAUCCAAUAAUGGGGGAUAACUAAUCGAAAGGUUGGCUAAUACCGCAUACGUCCUACGGGAGAAAGCAGGGGACCUUCGGGCCUUGCGUUAAUGGAGCGGCCGAUAUCUGAUUAGCUAGUUGGUGGGGUAAAGGCUCACCAAGGCGACGAUCAGUAGCUGGUCUGAGAGGACGACCAGCCACACUGGAACUGAGACACGGUCCAGACUCCUACGGGAGGCAGCAGUGGGGAAUUUUGGACAAUGGGCGCAAGCCUGAUCCAGCCAUUCCGCGUGAGUGAAGAAGGCCUUCGGGUUGUAAAGCUCUUUCGCAAGGGAAGAACACUUAGCUACUAACAUUAGCUGAGGUUGACGGUACCUUGAUAAGAAGCACCGGCUAACUACGUGCCAGCAGCCGCGGUAAUACGUAGGGUGCGAGCGUUAAUCGGAAUUACUGGGCGUAAAGCGUGCGCAGGCGGUUUUGUAAGUCAGAUGUGAAAUCCCCGAGCUCAACUUGGGAACUGCGUCCGAAACUACAAGACUAGAAUAUGUCAGAGGGGGGUAGAAUUCCACGUGUAGCAGUGAAAUGCGUAGAGAUGUGGAGGAAUACCAAUGGCGAAGGCAGCCCCCUGGGAUAAUAUUGACGCUCAUGCACGAAAGCGUGGGGAGCAAACAGGAUUAGAUACCCUGGUAGUCCACGCCCUAAACGAUGUCUACUAGUUGUUGGUGGAGUAAAAUCCAUGAGUAACGCAGCUAACGCGUGAAGUAGACCGCCUGGGGAGUACGGUCGCAAGAUUAAAACUCAAAGGAAUUGACGGA